CAUAUUACUCUAUGAUGGAAAUGAAAACUUAACCAAAAAUUAAUAUAUCUGAAUCUGAUCAUUACGUUGGGUUUGAUAAUGGAAAAAUAAAAUGAUUAACAAAAGGAAACUUAUUCUGAAAAUUCGAGAGUCAUUUCAUUGGAAAAGAAUCAAUUUAAGUCAGCAUACAAAAUGUCAACAUAUAAAUAUUGCAUACAAACCUCCUUGGAAAAUUCUUUUUUUUGGCACUGAUAAAUUUUCACUGUUCAGUUUAGGUCGUCUCCUACAGGAAUAUAGAAACGGAGGUGCAAUAAGUAGGUUGGAAGUAUGCACUUCCAUUAAGGAAAUGAAAAAUGAUGUUUACAAAUUUGCGAAGAAAGAAAAUUUGAGGAUAUGGAAGUGGCCACCUGAACUUAACCGAAUGGAAUUUGAUGCAGGUUUAGUGGUAUCUUUCGGUCAUCUAAUUCCAAAGCAAUUAAUAGAAAAUUUUCCAUUAGGAAUGAUAAAUGUUCAUGCUAGCUUAUUACCUCGAUGGAGAGGAGCAGCUCCUAUAAUUUAUAGUUUAGCAAAUGGAGAUAAAAUCACUGGAGUAACAAUAAUGCAAAUAGAGCCUGCUAGGUUUGAUGUGGGUAAAAUUAUAUCUCAAAAAUCUAUCAAAAUACCUGAUAAUAUAUAUUUGCCUGAAUUAAAUGUUAAGUUAGGAUCUCUUGGAGCCAAUGAAUUAAUAGAAUGUUUAAAAGACUUACCCAAAAAAUUGAACAAUGCUGAACACCAGUCAAAAGAAGGAAUUUCAUAUGCACCAAAGGUAGAAACUUCUUUUGCACGUAUUGAUUGGGAAAAUAUGACAUCUUCAAAAAUAUUCAAUUUGGAAAGAGCACUUAAAGGUUUUUUACCCCUUACUUCAAUUUGGAAAGGAGAAAUCAUCAAGCUCUUUGGCAUAGGAUUAUUAAAUGAUGGUUGUGACAUUGAAAUGAAACAAGGAUUCAUUCAUUAUGAUGAUGAAUCACAAAAAUUGAAAGUUGUAUGUACAGACAAGAAUUAUAUUACAAUUGAAAAAGUUCAAAUCUAUCAGAGGAAACUAAUGGCUGCUAAAGAUUUUAAUAAUGGGUAUCUGAAGAAAGUACCACUAGAAGAAAGAUAUUUUCUUUGAAUUUUAAAAAAUUCAUGAAAUAUAUUAAUGUGAGUUCGAAAAGAGCAAUAAAAUUUGAUGCAGUUUUUGGUUGCCUUGACCUGACACCAAUGAAAUUCAAACUUCUACAUUUUGCUUCCAAAACUACCGGAGUUAGGAGAAAGCUUUGUGAUCAACUUUGGUAUGUUAAAAAUGAUUGAUCUUCGCAGUGAAAAUAUUAACUCGCAAAAUGUAAAUAAAGCAAUUAUGAACAA